rnacentral:rRNA from 1 species
CUACGGGCCGCUGCAGUGAGGAAUAUUGCACAAUGGGGGAAACCCUGAUGCAGCAACGCCGCGUGGAGGAUGACGCAUUUCGGUGUGUAAACUCCUUUUAUAUGUCAAGAAAAUGACGGUAGCAUAUGAAUAAGCACCGGCUAACUCCGUGCCAGCAGCCGCGGUAAUACGGAGGGUGCAAGCGUUACUCGGAAUCACUGGGCGUAAAGGACGCGUAGGCUGGUUGGUAAGUCAGGUGUGAAAUCCUACAGCUUAACUGUAGAACUGCACUUGAAACUACCAACCUAGAGUAUGGGAGGGGGAGAUGGAAUUAGUGGUGUAGGGGUAAAAUCCGUAGAUAUCACUAGGAAUACCGAAAGCGAAGGCGAUCUCCUGGAACAUAACUGACGCUAAGGCGUGAAAGCGUGGGGAGCAAACAGGAUUAGAUACCCGUGUAGUC